rnacentral:rRNA from 1 species
UUAAGCGACUAAGCGUACACGGUGGAUGCCCUGGCAGUCAGAGGCGAUGAAGGACGUGCUAAUCUGCGAUAAGCGUCGGUAAGGUGAUAUGAACCGUUAUAACCGGCGAUUUCCGAAUGGGGAAACCCAGUGUGUUUCGACACACUAUCAUUAACUGAAUCCAUAGGUUAAUGAGGCGAACCGGGGGAACUGAAACAUCUAAGUACCCCGAGGAAAAGAAAUCAACCGAGAUUCCCCCAGUAGCGGCGAGCGAACGGGGAGGAGCCCAGAGCCUGAAUCAGUGUGUGUGUUAGUGGAAGCGUCUGGAAAGGCGCGCGAUACAGGGUGACAGCCCCGUACACAAAAAUGCACAUGCUGUGAGCUCGAUGAGUAGGGCGGGACACGUGGUAUCCUGUCUGAAUAUGGGGGGACCAUCCUCCAAGGCUAAAUACUCCUGACUGACCGAUAGUGAACCAGUACCGUGAGGGAAAGGCGAAAAGAACCCCGGCGAGGGGAGUGAAAAAGAACCUGAAACCGUGUACGUACAAGCAGUGGGAGCACGCUUAGGCGUGUGACUGCGUACCUUUUGUAUAAUGGGUCAGCGACUUAUAUUCUGUAGCAAGGUUAACCGAAUAGGGGAGCCGAAGGGAAACCGAGUCUUAACUGGGCGUUAAGUUGCAGGGUAUAGACCCGAAACCCGGUGAUCUAGCCAUGGGCAGGUUGAAGGUUGGGUAACACUAACUGGAGGACCGAACCGACUAAUGUUGAAAAAUUAGCGGAUGACUUGUGGCUGGGGGUGAAAGGCCAAUCAAACCGGGAGAUAGCUGGUUCUCCCCGAAAGCUAUUUAGGUAGCGCCUCGUGAACUCAUCUCCGGGGGUAGAGCACUGUUUCGGCAAGGGGGUCAUCCCGACUUACCAACCCGAUGCAAACUGCGAAUACCGGAGAAUGUUAUCACGGGAGACACACGGCGGGUGCUAACGUCCGUCGUGAAGAGGGAAACAACCCAGACCGCCAGCUAAGGUCCCAAAGUCAUGGUUAAGUGGGAAACGAUGUGGGAAGGCCCAGACAGCCAGGAUGUUGGCUUAGAAGCAGCCAUCAUUUAAAGAAAGCGUAAUAGCUCACUGGUCGAGUCGGCCUGCGCGGAAGAUGUAACGGGGCUAAACCAUGCACCGAAGCUGCGGCAGCGACGCUGAUGCGUUGUUGGGUAGGGGAGCGUUCUGUAAGCCUGCGAAGGUGUGCUGUGAGGCAUGCUGGAGGUAUCAGAAGUGCGAAUGCUGACAUAAGUAACGAUAAAGCGGGUGAAAAGCCCGCUCGCCGGAAGACCAAGGGUUCCUGUCCAACGUUAAUCGGGGCAGGGUGAGUCGACCCCUAAGGCGAGGCCGAAAGGCGUAGUCGAUGGGAAACAGGUUAAUAUUCCUGUACUUGGUGUUACUGCGAAGGGGGGACGGAGAAGGCUAUGUUGGCCGGGCGACGGUUGUCCCGGUUUAAGCGUGUAGGCUGGUUUUCCAGGCAAAUCCGGAAAAUCAAGGCUGAGGCGUGAUGACGAGGCACUACGGUGCUGAAGCAACAAAUGCCCUGCUUCCAGGAAAAGCCUCUAAGCAUCAGGUAACAUCAAAUCGUACCCCAAACCGACACAGGUGGUCAGGUAGAGAAUACCAAGGCGCUUGAGAGAACUCGGGUGAAGGAACUAGGCAAAAUGGUGCCGUAACUUCGGGAGAAGGCACGCUGAUAUGUAGGUGAAGUCCCUUGCGGAUGGAGCUGAAAUCAGUCGAAGAUACCAGCUGGCUGCAACUGUUUAUUAAAAACACAGCACUGUGCAAACACGAAAGUGGACGUAUACGGUGUGACGCCUGCCCGGUGCCGGAAGGUUAAUUGAUGGGGUCAGCGCAAGCGAAGCUCUUGAUCGAAGCCCCGGUAAACGGCGGCCGUAACUAUAACGGUCCUAAGGUAGCGAAAUUCCUUGUCGGGUAAGUUCCGACCUGCACGAAUGGCGUAAUGAUGGCCAGGCUGUCUCCACCCGAGACUCAGUGAAAUUGAACUCGCUGUGAAGAUGCAGUGUACCCGCGGCAAGACGGAAAGACCCCGUGAACCUUUACUAUAGCUUGACACUGAACAUUGAGCCUUGAUGUGUAGGAUAGGUGGGAGGCUUUGAAGUGUGGACGCCAGUCUGCAUGGAGCCGACCUUGAAAUACCACCCUUUAAUGUUUGAUGUUCUAACGUUGACCCGUGAUCCGGGUUGCGGACAGUGUCUGGUGGGUAGUUUGACUGGGGCGGUCUCCUCCUAAAGAGUAACGGAGGAGCACGAAGGUUGGCUAAUCCUGGUCGGACAUCAGGAGGUUAGUGCAAUGGCAUAAGCCAGCUUGACUGCGAGCGUGACGGCGCGAGCAGGUGCGAAAGCAGGUCAUAGUGAUCCGGUGGUUCUGAAUGGAAGGGCCAUCGCUCAACGGAUAAAAGGUACUCCGGGGAUAACAGGCUGAUACCGCCCAAGAGUUCAUAUCGACGGCGGUGUUUGGCACCUCGAUGUCGGCUCAUCACAUCCUGGGGCUGAAGUAGGUCCCAAGGGUAUGGCUG